UACCAUUUAUGUCAGAGUAGAAUCCAAUUCAUCGACCACUUGUUGGCCAACACCACGUUUGGAUGUCAUGGUUUUGAGCCAGACUGAUAAGAAAAACUGGUUGAAAUCCUUAAACUUUAUUACUAGGUCAGGAAGUUAGGAGGAGUGCAUGAAUAAGUAUAAUAAAAUUUAGGAGAAGAAGAUGAUAGCUCAGCUAUUUCCCAGGUAGUGUUUUAAACAUCUUUUUUGUACGUGGAAGAGUAGAAGUCUCGUUUUGCUAUGGAAUGAAUUUGGAAUGUUUGUGAAUGAACGUGGCCAAAGAACUGGAAACAUCGAUCGAACAUAACAUCAUUUACCUUUUUGCUUUUGUGCACAAAUGUUCAAGAGAUUUCGAUGCGUGGAAUGAAACUGACGACUGACAACGCGUGACGACGUACUUUUUUACUGUAUUAUGUAGGUAUGUAUAUGAUUUAUAACGAUAAAAAGAUAAGCUACAUUUUCAGGGUCUGCAUGCACGUUGU